rnacentral:rRNA from 1 species
UACGUAGGGCGCGAGCGUUGUCCGGAAUUAUUGGGCGUAAAGAGCUCGUAGGUGGUUUGUCGCGUUGUUCGUGAAAACCGGGGGCUUAACCCUCGGCGUGCGGGCGAUACGGGCAGACUGGAGUACUGCAGGGGAGACUGGAAUUCCUGGUGUAGCGGUGGAAUGCGCAGAUAUCAGGAGGAACACCGGUGGCGAAGGCGGGUCUCUGGGCAGCAACUGACGCUGAGGAGCGAAAGCGUGGGGAGCGAACAGG